GAUAAACGCUGGCGGCGCACAUAAGACAUGCAAGUCGAACGGAAGUCGUUAUAAAAAGGAAAGAAGAUUUAUCCGAUUGAAUUUUUAUAACAAUGGCUUUAGUGGCGGACUGGUGAGUAACGCGUGAGCAACCUGCCUACUAGAGGGGAAUAACAGUGAGAAAUCACUGCUAAUACCGCAUAUGCCGUGAACAUCGCAUGAUGAAAACGGGAAAGGAGCAAUUCGCUAGUAGAUGGGCUCGCGUCUGAUUAGAUAGUUGGUAGGGUAACGGCCUACCAAGUCUACGAUCAGUAGCCGGACUGAGAGGUUGAACGGCCACAUUGGGACUGAGAUACGGCCCAG
rnacentral:rRNA from 1 species